GACGAACGCUGGCGGCGUGCUUAACACAUGCAAGUCGAACGCUGAAGCUCAGCUUGCUGGGUGGAUGAGUGGCGAACGGGUGAGUAACACGUGAGUAACCUGCCCUCUUCUUUGGGAUAACGCCCGGAAACGGGUGCUAAUACUGGAUAUUCACUGAUUCUCGCAUGGGGGUUGGUGGAAAGGUUUUUUCUGGUGGGGGAUGGGCUCGCGGCCUAUCAGCUUGUUGGUGGGGUGAUGGCCUACCAAGGCUUUGACGGGUAGCCGGCCUGAGAGGGUGACCGGUCACAUUGGGACUGAGAUACGGCCCAGACUCCUACGGGAGGCAGCAGUGGGGAAUAUUGCACAAUGGGCGAAAGCCUGAUGCAGCGACGCCGCGUGAGGGAUGGAGGCCUUCGGGUUGUAAACCUCUUUCGCUCAUGGUCAAGCCGCAGUUUUGGGUUGUGGUGAGGGUAGUGGGUAAAGAAGCGCCGGCUAACUACGUG
rnacentral:rRNA from 1 species